CUUGCUGUGAGUGCGAGGGUCUUCUUUGACAAGAUUGGUUUAAAUGCAAAGGCUUGGAGUGUUUGUUGUAAAAUCUAGUCCAUGCCCAUCAUUCAGUAGUCCUGUUUUUCCCUUUCAGGUUCCUCCCAGCAUGAUUCAUCAGGAACAAGUGAGAAAAUUGAGGUUGAGGUCGCAGUCGAUGAUGAUGACCAUGACUUCCUAUCCCUUGACAAGAGUCUGCAGAGGAGCAAGUCUGCUAAUGAAGCUGCCAAUAGUGAGAGAAGUGAUGCAGAAGAAUUUAGUUUUGAUUCCUCUUUCCAUGUCACAUCAGAAACAAGUGAGAAACCUGAGGUCGAGGUCACCAUUGAAGAUGAUGACCAUGACUUUGUAUCUCCUGACAAGAGUCUGCAGAGGAGCAAGUCUGCUAAUGAAGCUGCCAAUAGUGAGAGAAAUGAAGCAGAAGAAUGCAAUUCAGGUAAGAUGAAGAUGGAAGGUGAUUUUAUCUCCCUGCUUUGUUUCAGGAAAAGGUUUUGGGCACUUUUGCGCUGCAGGAGGUGAUACAUGUUAGUGGUGGUGUUAAUUUAAAAGCCAUGGGCUCUGUGUAGAAGUAUUGAUGCAGUAUAAUCAUCAUCAUAGGCUGCCUGUGUUGUUUUUUGUUAUGUGAUGUGACAAUGUGAAUACACGCAGGGGAAGUUGGGAUCUUCUGGUUCUGUUCUUUCCUGAUUCUUUUUGUUGGGUUCUCCACACGAAUGCAUCUGUGCACUUCAGUUUACCCUAUUUAGAGGUGCUUUGUCUAGGAUUUUUUGUGAUUCUGUACCUCUCCUUUAUUCUGUGCUUUGUUUUGGUUUGUGGAUACAUUAAUCUGUCUGCUUUUAUAAGGUUCUGUGAAGUCAGGAAUAUGUUUUUUACUUAAUAUUUUGAAGGCAGUAAGGUGUGAAGGUAUUUUGGUGUAAAAUCUUGUCCGUGUCCAUCAUUAGCAGUCCUGUUUUUCCUUCAGAUUCCUCCCAGCAUGACUCGUCAGAAACAAGUGAGGAUUCUGAUGCUGAAGUGUCUAGUGAAGGUCAGUUCACCAGGUCAUUGAUUUCAGUUGGUUGGGCAGUUUUCUGUCCAAGAUGUGUUUUCCAAAGCUUACAUGACUUUCCAAAGCAUUUAAUGAAGGGAAUUGUGUGCCAGUGUUGACUGCAGUUUGGAUUGUGCACUGCUUGGUAAACAAAACCUGGUGGAGAAGUAUUAGAAAACCACAAUACACUGAAGCAUAUUUGAGUUCCUGGGCUGGUUUUGAAAUGCUGCCUGACAGCAAUUUGUAUCUUGAGCAUAUUUUUGCAGCGUUGGUAAUGGAAAAUCCUCCUUGUCUGGAGAAGAUGUUCUUGUAUUCAUUUAUUCUGAGGACCCCAUUGCUUUAUAAACACCCUGUAGUUGUAUGUAACAUUAGUAGUUAGCAGCAGCUUGUGGGCAGAAUGGUACUGGAACAGAAAGCUGUGCUGCAGGUGGUGUAGGUGAAGCCUCAAAGUGUCUGUCUAGUACUGAUAACUUUGAGAUACAAACCUUUGCACUUACCAUUUCCUUUUUUCAUCUUAGUGGCUCUGAAGCUGCUUACCUGUGUUCUGCUGUUCUCAUGGUAGGAUCUUGAUAGGAGAUCAGCUGUGUUUCUUGUAUUUGUGAAUUCUUGUCCUGUACCUGUUUUAAGACACUGCUGAGAUUGGCUUUUGCAGUGCUUGGUUGUGGAAUUAGACUAAGAUCACUCAAUCAGCAAUUUAGGAAGUAGGCAGGGCAUUUGGGACAAAGUGGACACUUCUGGCAUGACCUUCAACAUUUUACCUUGCAGCACAGCAAGAAAUGUAUAGGUGCAGGAUGUGACAGUAUGUGAUACUGUUCUUGCUAAGUAAACCAUACCCUUGGUGAGGUGGGCACAUGCUUUUCUGUAAGUGAAAUUAGUUUUCUUUGUCUGCUCUAACCAUUUGUUUUGUCUGAGAUUAGAGGUUUUGGUAACAGGGCAGAAUGAAAAGUUCUUUACCAUGAGGAAGCUAGGGAUGGACUGGGGAGUGACUGGCUAAGCUCUCUGAUGAAUGGCUAGGCUUGCUGUUCUCCUGUGUGUGGUAGAGUUGACCUGUUUGAUGAAUUUGAUUGGCUCCCAUCAGUUUUACACUGGUUUGAAAGUGGGUUUAGAACAUUUGAGCUCUUCAAGACAAACCUUAGGUGCUGUCUUUUGAGAUCUACUAGUGGAAUGAUAUUACUUCCAGUUAGAUAAAGAAGUUAUUUGGUAUUGGCAGAAUUUAUUUUGAGAUUCCUUUUGCUGUGGCAUGGUUGUUUUAUGGUCAUGUGAUGUCCAGUUGUGUUUUAGAAGACAGUGUUGUUUUCCUUUGGAAGUCCAGAAGCAGCUUUGUUUUUUGCUAUGUUGUGCUUUGCACAGGCCCUUUUGCAAAAGUUGUUCCUUCACAGGUAAAAACAGGGGUUUUCUAAAGUUAUUAGGUGUGUAAUUUGUUGGAAAAUACGGUGCCAUGAUGAGCACAGUUCCUUAAUUCUGUUAGAUUUUUGAACUUCAGAGCAGUUAUUUGGUUGCACAGAAGUUUAGAGGGCAAAAUAACUGAUUGUUUUUGUGUGCCUUUAAGACGAUGACCUUGACUAUGUACCCCGUAAGAAGAGAGUGAAGAAAACCAAAUCAGCUAAUGAAGAUGCUGAUAGUGAGACAAGUAGAACAAAAGAGUUCAAUUUUGGUAAGAUUAAACUUACAGAUGAUUUUAUCUCCCUGCUUGAAAAGGUUUUGGGCAAUUUUGUGCUGCAGGAGUGCAGGUCUUCAUUUAAAAGCUCUGUGGAGUGUUGCUGCAGUAUAAUCAUCAUCAUAGGCUUUGUUGUUUUUUGUUACACGGCGUGACUACGUAAAUGCACGCAGAGGAAGUUGGCAUCUUCUGGUUGUGUUUUUUUCUGAUCUAUUAGAUUGUUUUUCCACACAAAUGCAUCUGUGCACUUCAGUUUACUCUGGUUAGAGAUGCUUUGCCUGGGAUUUUUUGUGAUUCUGUACCUCUCCUUUAUUCUGUGGUUUGGUUUGUUUUUAUGGACGCAUUAUUCUGUCUGCAUUUUUAUGGUUCUAUACUUUCAGGAAUAUGUCUUUUUUUUUUUGAGUUUUUGAGUAUUUGAGUUUUUAUUUGGAAUUCUGUAAAUUUAAGUAAGUAUUAAAAUUAUUAUGGAUCUUCUUGUAACAUGGUUUUUGCAUGACAGGUGUCAAUUUUAACAAAAGUGACUGAAAUUUUGAGAGCUGUUCUCAAGAGAUCAUUACUACCAGUAGGCCAUUGAACAUGUGUCAUUCCUUUUGGUUUGGUCAGGAGAACGUAAAGACAGCAUUUCUAGAGGAGAAUAUUGAGGAGUUGGUGCUGAGGAAGCCUUUUUUAGAUAUGGUCUCUCAGUAGGAAAAUUACCUAAGCUUUGAUCUCCAGCAGUUUUGGAAGUGAAGAAAUACUGAGUUGGAUUUCAGAUGGAGAGGAAAGGGAAUAAAGUACCAGAAUGGCAGAAGUUUUAGUUGAGC
ensembl:lncRNA